rnacentral:rRNA from 1 species
CGGGGAAUAUUGGGCAAUGGACGAAAGUCUGACCCAGCGACGCCGCGUGAGGGAAGAAGGUCUUCGGAUUGUAAACCUCUGUUGACAGGGAAGAAGAAAGUGACGGUACCUGUCGAGGAAGUCACGGCUAACUACGUGCCAGCAGCCGCGGUAAUACGUAGGUGGCAAGCGUUAUCCGGAUUUACUGGGUGUAAAGGGUGUGUAGGCGGGACGGCAAGUCAGAUGUGAAAAUUAUGGGCUUAACCCAUAACCUGCAUUUGAAACUGUUGUUCUUGAGAGUCGGAGAGGUAGAUGGAAUUCCCGGUGUAGCGGUGAAAU